rnacentral:rRNA from 1 species
GACGAACGCUGGCGGCGUGCUUAGCACAUGCAAGUCGAACGGAAAGGCCCUGCUUUUGUGGGGUGCUCGAGUGGCGAACGGGUGAGUAACACGUGAGUAACCUGCCCUUGACUUUGGGAUAACUUCAGGAAACUGGGGCUAAUACCGGAUAGGAGCUCCUGCUGCAUGGUGGGGGUUGGAAAGUUUCGGCGGUUGGGGAUGGACUCGCGGCUUAUCAGCUUGUUGGUGGGGUAGUGGCUUACCAAGGCCUUGACGGGUAGCCGGCCUGAGAGGGUGACCGGCCACAUUGGGACUGAGAUACGGCCCAGACUCCUACGGGAGGCAGCAGUGGGGAAUAUUGCACAAUGGGCGGAAGCCUGAUGCAGCAACGCCGCGUGCGGGAUGACGGCCUUCGGGUUGUAAACCGCUUUCGCCUGUGACGAAGCGUGAGUGACGGUAAUGGGUAAAGAAGCACCGGCUAACUACGUG